rnacentral:lncRNA from 1 species
GAAAAGUCACAACAAAUAAAUAAGAGAAUUUGCACCAUUAUUUUUAUUUUUCCUGUUCUUGUUUCUUUCUCUUUUCUUAUGAGUAUUUUUUAUUUUUCACUUUUAUGGACGAUGACAAAAAUGGAUGCACCACAAGACUUCUUCAGUGGUACGUGUUAUCAUCAUAAUAUUCUACAUGUUGUAUGUUGUAGUCCAUCGCCAAACCUGAAGAAUGAUUCAUAGAAGUUGCUUUAGUUUCAUCAUCAAACAAUUCUACAUAUGGUUUGUAAUCCAUUGUCAAGCUUGAAUAAGGGUUCGUGGGAGAUGUCCUAUUUUCAUCAUUAGAAAAUUUGUAAAGGUGUUUUGUUUAGAUCAAGUUCUAAAGAUGAUUUGUUUAUAUCAAGGUCCAAAGGCAUGUUUAUAUUUACAAAGAUUGACCAGUAAUGAAAAAAGAAAAUAAAAAUACCCAUACCCAUUUAAAGCCUCAAUUUAAUUAUAUAUUGUAUUUAGUGCGAGCAAAAUAAAAUUUUGGAUGAAGUAAGAAAUCAAAAGUUUUGAUACAACAAGUGUAGAAGAUGAGGACCGUGACACACAUUUAUUUAUUUAUUUAUUUAUUUGACUUAUUAAGGUUACUUUGGUAAAUAUAUAUAUGACUUAACAAUAUUUUUUAAUAUGCAUAAUUUAAUUCAUUUUUAUUUGCAGUUCAUAUCGAGGAGGGAGUACUUCAUCUAUCUCUUAAAAUAAGACAUGAUGAGUAAAUAACAUAAAUUAAAUGUUUAUUUGAUGCAUAGAUUAUAUAUGAUAUAAAGUUGAAUAAAGAUAUAAUAAUGACAUAAUAAAUAUUAUUAUAUAUUGUAUUUGAUGCGCUCGUAUAAUAAUAUUAUUUUACUAUGUCAAAUGUUUAAUACACACCUCAUUGUGACAUAAUAUAGUGGUUAUCAUAUUUAAACAAUUAAAUUGUCAAUUUGAAACAAUUACAUUAUUUUUUUACAUAGAGGAAUUGAUUAAUGUUAAUGCCUUAAUUCAUCAAACUCAAAAUUCAUAAAACAUUAUUUUGUUAGCACACUAGAUAUUUUUCGUUAUUUAUAUAUAAAUGUCUCGCAUUUCAUUCAUCACCUCAAAAUAGUAAUACACAUAAUAAAACAUCAUGCGAUUAAAUUACAGGUAAAUAAUUAUGAAUAUUAGAAUGUUAUAAUAAAGGCAAAAAAGUAACUUAUACUCUUACAAACAUGAGUAUCUAAUCAUGAUAAAAUCAGUAUUCAACGGAUAUCUCGAGUAUAGUCCCACCUAAAUGUAAAUUUUUCCUAUCGACAUCGCUCUCAAGAUAUCAUCGGUCAUGAAUCUUUAAUUAUUUUAUAACACACCCUCCAACAUAUCAUAUUUAUAUGUAUAAGUAUGUAGGAUAUAUAUUUGUAGUUAUGUCCAUCUUAACAUAUUAACAUCAACAAAAUCAUAACAACGAGGGCUUACUAAUUACAAAUUUCAAACUUAUUAUUUAAGUUAAUAACUAAUAAUUCUUAUCAUAUAACUAAUUAUUAUUGAAUCUUUUUUACUUGUCUAAUUGAUUGAUCUAAUAUUUAUAAUCAAUUAUUAGUUAACUGAUCAAUAUUUAACUUCUGAAUUUAACAAAUUCUUAUUAACUAAUGAUAAAUUUUUUUAACUUAACUAAUAAAUCAAUUGUUCACUCUAACUCAUCAUUUCAUUAAUCUACAUGAGUUAGAGUCAACUUAAAUGGUUGACCAUUACCCUAAUAAAUUAUUUAAUUAACUUACUUGACUAGUACCAUUAACAUCAUCACAAACUUAUCACUUAGGCUAAAUUGUAUAUUUUAAGAUAGAAUCAACUUAAAUGGUUGACCAUUACCCUAAUAAAUUAUUUAAUUAACUUACUUGACUAGUACCAUUAACAUCAUCACAAACUUAUCACUUAGGCUAAAUUGUAUAUUUUAAGAUAGAAUCAACUUAAAUGGUUGACCAUUACCCUAAUAAAUUAUUUAAUUAACUUACUUGACUAGUACCAUUAACAUCAUCACAAACUUAUCACUUAGGCUAAAUUGUAUAUUUUAAGAUAGAAUCAACUUAAAUGGUUGACCAUUACCCUAAUAAAUUAUUUAAUUAACUUACUUGACUAGUACCAUUAACAUCAUCACAAACUUAUCACUUAGGCUAAAUUGUAUAUUUUAAGAUAGAAUCAACUUAAAUGGUUGACCAUUACCCUAAUAAAUUAUUUAAUUAACUUACUUGACUAGUACCAUUAACAUCAUCACAAACUUAUCACUUAGGCUAAAUUGUAUAUUUUAAGAUAGAAUCAACUCGGUUGGGAUAAUCAGGGCCGUUGAUGGAAGGAGGUGGAUAGCGAAGGCAAGGACGGAACGCGUGGCGUUUGGUGAAGUGGGUUUGCGUGGUGCGUGGGAUAGAUGCCACGCUGGCAAAAAUAGUAGCAUUAGUGGAUUGCGUCUAGCGGCCGACAAAACCAAGGAAUGGAGGAUGAUGUAGUAGGUACUGUAGAUACUGACCCCACCGCACUCCUUCUUAACUUCUUAAACACCGAAAUCUAACUAACCCUUCCAAGUAUUGAUUAAAUUAAAUAUAUUCAAUAUAAUCAAGAUUAAUUAAAUAAAGUAAAAUCUAAUGAACCAUCUCUCCUUAUUAAUUAUUAUCUGAAAUUGAUAUAUGAAAAAAAUUAAUUCAUAUUUCUUGAAAUAAAAUAUUAUUCUUUAUUUUAUAAUAAUUGUCACACUUGCCAAAAAAAAUAUUCAAAUAUAAUUAUCAUUUUCAAUGUACAUUGAUUAACUUUUAUUAUUUAAAUAUUUUAAUUAAUAUUAUUUAACUAAAUUUUUUACUUUUUAUUUAUGGUAAUAAGAACCAACAAAAUAAUUAAAAAUAAUUAAUUUAAUAAAAUUAUUUUAUUAUCUCAUUUUUUUAUUAUAUAUUUAUAACUUAUGUUAAGUCGUCGUUUUCAAUCAAUAUUAUGAAUGUAUGGAGUAUAAAUUAAAAUCAAUGACUUAUGCCUUAUUUAAUCAUAAUAAAAUCUCUAAAUCAUCUUUCAACUUUUUAUUUUAUUAUAAGCAAUUUUAAUUAACUUUUCAAUCUUUCAUUUUGUUAUUUUUAUAAUACCCUUUUAUUGAUUUUUUGUAACUAUUUUUUAUACCUGCAUAAUUCAAUAAAAUCUUCUAGGUUGUCUAGAGGUUGGUAAGUAGAAAAGUCACAACAAAUAAAUAAGAGAAUUUGCACCAUUAUUUUUAUUUUUCCUGUUCUUGUUUCUUUCUCUUUUCUUAUGAGUAUUUUUUAUUUUUCACUUUUAUGGACGAUGACAAAAAUGGAUGCACCACAAGACUUCUUCAGUGGUACGUGUUAUCAUCAUAAUAUUCUACAUGUUGUAUGUUGUAGUCCAUCGCCAAACCUGAAGAAUGAUUCAUAGAAGUUGCUUUAGUUUCAUCAUCAAACAAUUCUACAUAUGGUUUGUAAUCCAUUGUCAAGCUUGAAUAAGGGUUCGUGGGAGAUGUCCUAUUUUCAUCAUUAGAAAAUUUGUAAAGGUGUUUUGUUUAGAUCAAGUUCUAAAGAUGAUUUGUUUAUAUCAAGGUCCAAAGGCAUGUUUAUAUUUACAAAGAUUGACCA